GCAGGAGAAAGCUUGCUUUCUUGCUGACGAGUGGCGGACGGGUGAGUAAUGCUUGGGAAUCUGGCUUAUGGAGGGGGAUAACUACGGGAAACUGUAGCUAAUACCGCGUAGUAUCGGAAGAUGAAAGUGCGGGACCGUAAGGCCGCAUGCCAUGGGAUGAGCCCAAGUGGGAUUAGGUAGUUGGUGGGGUAAAGGCCUACCAAGCCUGCGAUCUCUAGCUGGUCUGAGAGGAUGGCCAGCCACACUGGAACUGAGACACGGUCCAGACUCCUACGGGAGGCAGCAGUGGGGAAUAUUGCGCAAUGGGGGGAACCCUGACGCAGCCAUGCCGCGUGAAUGAAGAAGGCCUUCGGGUUGUAAAGUUCUUUCGGUAUUGAGGAAGGUUGAUGUGUUAAUAGUACAUCAAAUUGACGUUAAAUACAGAAGAAGCACCGGCUAACUCCGUGCCAGCAGCCGCGGUAAUACGGAGGGUGCGAGCGUUAAUCGGAAUAACUGGGCGUAAAGGGCACGCAGGCGGUUAUUUAAGUGAGGUGUGAAAGCCCCGGGCUUAACCUGGGAAUUGCAUUUCAGACUGGGUAACUAGAGUACUUUAGGGAGGGGUAGAAUUCCACGUGUAGCGGUGAAAUGCGUAGAGAUGUGGAGGAAUACCGAAGGCGAAGGCAGCCCCUUGGGAAUGUACUGACGCUCAUGUGCGAAAGCGUGGGGAGCAAACAGGAUUAGAUACCCUGGUAGUCCACGCUGUAAACGCUGUCGAUUUGGGGGUUGGGGUUUAACUCUGGCACCCGUAGCUAACGUGAUAAAUCGACCGCCUGGGGAGUACGGCCGCAAGGUUAAAACUCAAAUGAAUUGACGGGGGCCCGCACAAGCGGUGGAGCAUGUGGUUUAAUUCGAUGC
rnacentral:rRNA from 1 species